AGAUGCCCAGUAAUGGAAUUGCUGGAUCAAAUGGAUCAAUGGAAUUGCUGGUGGAUCUACUUGUACCUCUUUAAGAUCAGCUCCUCUCUGACGCUUUCUUAGAUGGCUUUAGUGUCACUGAUUAAUACUACAAUCAAGAGCCAUUUCUGUUGGCCUGGCAGAUGAAGCAGAGUCAAAUUUUCCAGAAUUUGAGGGGCGGAUUCCUGUCUGAGCUAAUACUGUUUAUUAUAUCAGCAGUUUGGGAAAGAUUUCGGCUUCUCUGAAUUUUUCCCAAGUUGGCUAGUCUGCUAUGUGUGUUGGUAAAUCAACAUGACCCCCUUUCUCGGCAGCCCUGACGACUUUCUUCUCUACAGCUAUAGGCACCAGAGAGUGAACCUGCCAUGCUGCAAUAUUUGGACGCUGAGGCAGAAGAUCUUCCAAGUGGAAAUCCAGGAAGGCGGAAGUAAACACAGAUCAGAGUGAAUGAAUGUCUUCGGGGUGUUGGCAGGGUGAUACAUGGUGAGGACCAGAUAGGAUGAAUCGUGUCAAGAAACGUAACACAUGGGUGGAGGUGGGAGGUAAUGUCACAAUGCAUGCACUUGUUUUAGAAUUAACAUAUUAGUAUUGAUCCACAGUGAUGUAAGCAAACCAUUUGACUUUGCUUUUCUGGAAAAUAAACAUGGAAAAUCCCAUGGAAUCAUAACGUUGGGGUAAGAGAUUAAGGGCUAUUGACCCAAAGGAAACAGUGCUGACCUGUCUCCUCUGUAACAUAUCACUCUCCAGCCACCAAGCCCUCAGGAUGGUCAGAAUGACGUAGCAGAAAGGGUGGGAUUUGAAGUCCAGCAAACCUGGUUUUUAAUUACAGCUCCUCCACUUACU